rnacentral:rRNA from 1 species
UACGUAGGUGGCAAGCGUUGUUCGGAAUCACUGGGCGUAAAGCGACCGCAGGCGGCCUGACAAGUCGGAUGUGAAAGCCCUGGGCUCAACUCAGGAAUUGCAUUCGAAACUGGCAGGCUUGAGUACGGGAGAGGGGGGUGGAAUUCCUGGUGUAGGGGUGAAAUUCGUUGAUAUCAGGAGGAACACCGGCGGCGAAGGCGGCCCCCUGGCCCGCAACUGACGCUCAUGGUCGAAAGCGUGGGGAGCAAACAGG